rnacentral:pre_miRNA from 1 species
UACCCCCUCUCCCCGUCCGAAAAUACUUGUCAUUGAAAUGGAUGUAUUUAGAUGUAUUUUAGUUCUAGACACAUCCAUUUUGAUGACAAGUAAUUCCGGAUGGAGGGAGUAUUAU